GUGAACGCUGGCGGCAGGCCUAACACAUGCAAGUCGAGCGGCAGCGGGUCCUUCGGGAUGCCGGCGAGCGGCGGACGGGUGAGGAAUGCAUCGGAAUCUGCCCUGUCGUGGGGGAUAACCUAGGGAAACUUAGGCUAAUACCGCAUACGACCCACGGGUGAAAGCGGGGGAUCGCAAGACCUCGCGCGAUUGGAUGAGCCGAUGUCCGAUUAGCUAGUUGGCGGGGUAAAGGCCCACCAAGGCGACGAUCGGUAGCUGGUCUGAGAGGAUGAUCAGCCACACUGGGACUGAGACACGGCCCAGACUCCUACGGGAGGCAGCAGUGGGGAAUAUUGGACAAUGGGCGCAAGCCGGAGCCAGCCAUGCCGCGUGGGUGAAGAAGGCCUUCGGGUUGGAAGGCCCUUUUGUCCGGGAAGAAAUCGUCUGGGCUAAUACCCCGGGCGGAUGACGGUACCGGAAGAAUAAGCACCGGCUAACUUCG
rnacentral:rRNA from 1 species